rnacentral:rRNA from 1 species
AUGGAGGAGCACCGUCUGCCGCCGAGGAACAGCGCCGUCCGCCACCAAGGAUCUGCCGCGCGCCGGGAACAGCAGCACCAUACGCCGGAGGAUCCGCCGCACCGACUUCUGUUGAGGAGCAGCCCGCCGUUCUUCUUCCUCCACCGGCGACCCCUGUCCCGGCCCCGCCUCCAGAUCUCAACAAGUAAGAUGCAUCAGGUGGUUCCAGGUCUAGGUCAUGGCACCAGUGGUGUGGCGUUGUUCUGUUUUCUCAAUGAAUAG